rnacentral:rRNA from 1 species
UACAGAGGGGGCAAGCGUUGUUCGGAAUUACUGGGCGUAAAGGGCGCGUAGGCGGCCUGUUAAGUCGAACGUGAAAUCCCCGGGCUCAACCCGGGAACUGCGUCCGAAACUGGCAGGCUUGAAUCCGGGAGAGGGAUGUGGAAUUCCAGGUGUAGCGGUGAAAUGCGUAGAUAUCUGGAGGAACAUCGGUGGCGAAGGCGACAUCCUGGACCGGUAUUGACGCUGAGGCGCGAAAGCCAGGGGAGCAAGCGGG